rnacentral:lncRNA from 1 species
CAUUUAGUAUUGUAGCUUGGUCUGGAUUAUUUUACAACCCAAUGGGCCAAAUAGAACACCCGAAUGAAGCUUGUCAUCCUAAUCUAAGUCAUUAGUGAUUAAACAUAGUCCUUCUUCUUUAACCCAUGGAUGUGAUAAAGACUAGGCAAAAAGUACUUCAACAAGCACACAUAUGUCAUAUCGGUAAGCUAUUUCCCACUCAAGAUUAGUAGUUAUAUUAGUAGUCUUUCUUCACGGUUUGUGGUUGCACAACCACAUGCAUUUCUUCAUUGACAAUAACAUCACUCUAGGCACACUUGUGAAAACAACUUUAGAUCCGACUGUACUAACUUCAUACGUUCAUGGUGCAACAAAUAUAGAAGCUAGCAUAUCGCAGUAAUUGCUUGUGGUGAAUAAGUUGGUGCAUAAGAACUAAAGCACUAAAAAUCAAUGGUUAUAGUUCUUUCUUCAUUGGUAUCUUGCUUUAGUGGUGGUUGAGUAAAUGGGCAUUCAUUUCAAAUGGUUGCACCAUGUUAAUAAACAGUGAGUGCUCAGGAAAACAAAAGCAAUUUGACUUACUAGUUUCCAAUAACUUGUAUUCAUGUUUGUGAUUUUGUAUGAAGGUGGAGUGAAUACCACCAUGGGUAUGGACAACUUGAGGGGUGGAGGAGGGAUAAGUAAGAUAGUGAACAACAAAGUUGAGAAGGUUAAGUAGAACUUUCCUUUCUUUUACACCAUGCAUUUCCCCAAGUGUUGAGUGACAAUAUGAACAUAAAGGUGUUUAUUUUUCACCAUUUAAUGGACAAAUCAUAGAAUCAAGCAACAAAACUUUAAGAUUCUCACAUGAAACUCUUACCAUAUCCACGCAUAGACUAUGAGUUGGACUCAAGACACGAGGAGAAAGAGAUUGUGAUAAAAGAAAGUAAAACACUAUGUGAAAAAAAACCCAUACUCAUAUUGUUUUCAACUUCUCUUCUUCAUUUUGCAUCCUCACCUCUCGAUAAAACUUUCUUUAAUCCGCUUUGGAUAAGAACUGCCCUCAUUUGAACUCGCCAAAUAGAAAAGCUAAUUUUGUCAAACUUCUCAAUAUCAAAAUUUGUAGAUAUUUUAAAAUUCCCAAUUGUGCAAGAGCUUUGAUACAACUUGUUAGGGAUAGAGCGCUAAGCGGAAGCACAAUGUCAGAUCAAUCAAUUAGGAACAAAAGAGAAGCAAGUAAAAGAGCAAGAAAAUACCACACAAAAUUUAACGUGGUAAAAAAGACCAAUAAAUCACUUAAAGUUGUACUAUGUAAAAAAGAAGAGUACAAUAAAUCUUCUUAUAAUAAUGAGGAUAAAUGACAAUAUUUUGUCUCACAAAUACUCUCUCAAAUGGAAUAAGAAUUCUCACCGAAACAUACCCACAAAGUAUAUGUGUAUAUGAAGAAAAAGGAGGUGGUGUGUGUUGAUGAAUUUG